CUUGUAUAUUAAGAAAGAAAUGGGGAAAUGGAAUCAAAACCCAGACGGCGACGGCCUCAGCAGAGCUCUGGAGCUUCAGGCCUCGAAGUUUCCACUUUCCAGGCUCCAAAGGCCAAGGUCCAAGGCUUGCUUGGAGAGGCUUCAUCGUUUUUAUAUAUACACUAGGGAUUGAAGGAAAGAGGGAACUUUAAUGGACCAGACCUCAGCAAGCGAUAUAAAUGUAGGUAAAAGUGAAAUGGAUGAAUAUGAAGAAAAAUCUUAUCAAGAGCUAAAGAAUGGAAACCAUAAAGUGGAAAUAUCUGAUGAGAAUUUUAGUUGCCCCUACUGCCCAAAUAAGAAAAAGCAAGGCUAUCUGUUCAAAGAGCUCCUCCAACAUGCUUCUGGGGUGGGACAUAGUACUUCAACAAAGAAAAAUGCCCAAGAAAAGGCCAAUCACUUGGCUUUGACAAAAUAUUUGGAAAAGGAUUUAGCUGCUGCUGCCAAUAAUCCAUCAAAAUCUAUGGAUGAAGACCAUCCCACUCUUCAUUGUGAUCGUGACGAGAAAUUUGUGUACCCUUGGACUGGGAUUGUGGUCAACCUUCCUACUAGACUAGGAAAUGAUGGGCGAUGUGUUGGAGAAAGUGGAUCCAAGUUGAGAGAUGAGUUGAAAACGAGAGGGUUUAAUCCCAUACGAGUUCAAACUCUAUGGAAUUACCGGGGUCACUCAGGAACUGCUGUUGUGGAAUUUAACAAAAACUGGCCUGGCUUACACAAUGCUUUGUCAUUUGAGAGGGCUUAUGAGGCAGAACAUCAUGGUAAAAAGGACUGGUAUUCCAAUAGUGAUACAAAAUCUGGUCUUUAUGCUUGGCUUGCUCGUGAAGAUGACUACAAUUUGACCAACAUUGUGGGAGAUCACCUACAGAAGAAUGCAGAUGUUAAAACCAUUUCUGAAAUUACUGGUGAUGAAGAGAGGAAGCAAAAUAAACUUGUAUCUAAUCUGACAAACCUCGUUGAGGUCAAGACUAUGCAUUUGAAGGAGAUGGAGCUCAAGUAUAGUGAAACUUUGAUUGCUUUUAACAAUUUAAUGGAAGAGAAAAACAAGCUUCAACAAGCUCAUAACGAAGAGAUUCAAAAAAUUCAAAUGAAUGCAAGGGAUCACCUCCAGAAGAUAUUUAAUGACCAUGAAAAAGUUAAACUGCAAUUGGAAGCUCAGAUGAUGGAGCUUGAGUUGCGGAGAAGAGAAUUGGAGAAGCGCGAGGCAAAGAAUGAAAGUGAAAGUAGUAGGCAGGCUGAAGAAAUUAAGAAGAAUGCCAUAAGGAAUAGUUCUCUUCAAUUGGCUGCUUUGGAGCAACAGAAGGCUGAUGAAAGCGUAAUGAAACUGGCAGAAGAUCAGAAGAAUGAAAAAGAAGAGCUUCGUAAUAGAAUAAUUGAACUGGAAAAGAAACUGGAUGCAAAGCAAGCACUUCAAUUGGAAAUUGAACAACUAAGAGGGACAUUAAAUGUUAUGGGGCACAUGGGAGAAGAUGGUGAUGAAGAAGUUCUGAAAAAGAUUAGUGCAAUAAACAAAGAGUUGAGAGCAAAGGAAGAAGAACUUGAAGUUGUAAUGGCUUUGAACCAAACACUAAUUAUGCAAGAGAGGAAGAGCAAUGAUGAGCUGCAGGAAGCUCGUAAAGAAUUGAUUAAUGUGUUUAAAGGACUAGUUAGUAGUGCUUUUAUUGGUGUUAAGCGAAUGGGAGAACUUGACAGUAAACCAUUCCAUGAAGCAGUGAAGAGAAAGUAUGAUGAGGAAGAGGCAGGAUAUAAGGCCUUGGAGCUAUGCUCAGUAUGGGACGAAUAUCUUAGAGACCCAAACUGGCAUCCUUUCAAAGUUAUAACGGUUGAAGGGAAAUCUAAGGAAUUUAUAGAUGAUGAAGAUGAGAAGCUGAAAGGUCUAAAGAAGGAAAUGGGUGAAGAAGUGUACAACGCUGUAACGACAGCCUUGAAGGAGAUCAAUGAAUAUAACCCAAGUGGAAGGUAUAUGGUGUCAGAACUGUGGAACUUUGUUGAAGGGAGAAAGGCUACUCUAAAGGAGGGAGUUGCAUACAUUCUGAAGCUUUGGAAAGCUAGGAAACGCAAGAGGCGUUAGGUUUGGAGGUUUGUAGUUUAUGUUCUUGUUAGGAGUAUUUCUCUCUCUGUAGGAAACAAGAUUUAAGGGCUUUGAAAAUGAAUCAUAUCAUGCGAAUAUAUAACAUUAAUAUUUCUGUGGGUUAGCAUGAGAAUGGGCUUCAAACCAAGGCACUUGGUGCUCCGCUAACUGCUGAGCAAAUAGCUCAUCGCUUAUCAGGUGCCAAGACAGAGUAUUGCUGUAGGAAACUGAAAGGCUUUGUAAAGACGGAGGGAAGGGGAUGAAGGGAUUCAUAGUUAGCAGACCUUUUAUGUAUGAAACGUGAUAGGAACAAGAGCAUCCAUUUUUGCUGGGAAACCUUUGAUUUGUCUUUUAUAGUCCUCGUUCAUUUACAAAAUAUAUGUCUAGUCUGACCCUCUUUGAAAGAAUGAAGCAAACAUUACAUGAUCGAUGGAGUUGGUACCUGGUAGGAGUAAUUAGCUUAGUUCAUGGAUAUGGAUCUAUUCAUGUUCCAAGUAUGUGAAACUUUACUUGUACUGAAUUUUUGAAGCACUACAGGCAAAUGUUGUGAAAA